GGGUUGUGAGGUUAAGCGACUAAGCGUACACGGUGGAUGCCCUGGCAGUCAGAGGCGAUGAAGGACGUGCUAAUCUGCGAUAAGCGUCGGUAAGGUGAUAUGAACCGUUAUAACCGGCGAUUUCCGAAUGGGGAAACCCAGUGUGUUUCGACACACUAUCAUUAACUGAAUCCAUAGGUUAAUGAGGCGAACCGGGGGAACUGAAACAUCUAAGUACCCCGAGGAAAAGAAAUCAACCGAGAUUCCCCCAGUAGCGGCGAGCGAACGGGGAGCAGCCCAGAGCCUGAAUCAGUGUGUGUGUUAGUGGAAGCGUCUGGAAAGGCGCGCGAUACAGGGUGACAGCCCCGUACACAAAAAUGCACAUGCUGUGAGCUCGAUGAGUAGGGCGGGACACGUGGUAUCCUGUCUGAAUAUGGGGGGACCAUCCUCCAAGGCUAAAUACUCCUGACUGACCGAUAGUGAACCAGUACCGUGAGGGAAAGGCGAAAAGAACCCCGGCGAGGGGAGUGAAAAAGAACCUGAAACCGUGUACGUACAAGCAGUGGGAGCACGCUUAGGCGUGUGACUGCGUACCUUUUGUAUAAUGGGUCAGCGACUUAUAUUCUGUAGCAAGGUUAACCGAAUAGGGGAGCCGAAGGGAAACCGAGUCUUAACUGGGCGUUAAGUUGCAGGGUAUAGACCCGAAACCCGGUGAUCUAGCCAUGGGCAGGUUGAAGGUUGGGUAACACUAACUGGAGGACCGAACCGACUAAUGUUGAAAAAUUAGCGGAUGACUUGUGGCUGGGGGUGAAAGGCCAAUCAAACCGGGAGAUAGCUGGUUCUCCCCGAAAGCUAUUUAGGUAGCGCCUCGUGAAUUCAUCUCCGGGGGUAGAGCACUGUUUCGGCAAGGGGGUCAUCCCGACUUACCAACCCGAUGCAAACUGCGAAUACCGGAGAAUGUUAUCACGGGAGACACACGGCGGGUGCUAACGUCCGUCGUGAAGAGGGAAACAACCCAGACCGCCAGCUAAGGUCCCAAAGUCAUGGUUAAGUGGGAAACGAUGUGGGAAGGCCCAGACAGCCAGGAUGUUGGCUUAGAAGCAGCCAUCAUUUAAAGAAAGCGUAAUAGCUCACUGGUCGAGUCGGCCUGCGCGGAAGAUGUAACGGGGCUAAACCAUGCACCGAAGCUGCGGCAGCGACGCUUAUGCGUUGUUGGGUAGGGGAGCGUUCUGUAAGCCUGCGAAGGUGUGCUGUGAGGCAUGCUGGAGGUAUCAGAAGUGCGAAUGCUGACAUAAGUAACGAUAAAGCGGGUGAAAAGCCCGCUCGCCGGAAGACCAAGGGUUCCUGUCCAACGUUAAUCGGGGCAGGGUGAGUCGACCCCUAAGGCGAGGCCGAAAGGCGUAGUCGAUGGGAAACAGGUUAAUAUUCCUGUACUUGGUGUUACUGCGAAGGGGGGACGGAGAAGGCUAUGUUGGCCGGGCGACGGUUGUCCCGGUUUAAGCGUGUAGGCUGGUUUUCCAGGCAAAUCCGGAAAAUCAAGGCUGAGGCGUGAUGACGAGGCACUACGGUGCUGAAGCAACAAAUGCCCUGCUUCCAGGAAAAGCCUCUAAGCAUCAGGUAACAUCAAAUCGUACCCCAAACCGACACAGGUGGUCAGGUAGAGAAUACCAAGGCGCUUGAGAGAACUCGGGUGAAGGAACUAGGCAAAAUGGUGCCGUAACUUCGGGAGAAGGCACGCUGAUAUGUAGGUGAAGUCCCUCGCGGAUGGAGCUGAAAUCAGUCGAAGAUACCAGCUGGCUGCAACUGUUUAUUAAAAACACAGCACUGUGCAAACACGAAAGUGGACGUAUACGGUGUGACGCCUGCCCGGUGCCGGAAGGUUAAUUGAUGGGGUCAGCGCAAGCGAAGCUCUUGAUCGAAGCCCCGGUAAACGGCGGCCGUAACUAUAACGGUCCUAAGGUAGCGAAAUUCCUUGUCGGGUAAGUUCCGACCUGCACGAAUGGCGUAAUGAUGGCCAGGCUGUCUCCACCCGAGACUCAGUGAAAUUGAACUCGCUGUGAAGAUGCAGUGUACCCGCGGCAAGACGGAAAGACCCCGUGAACCUUUACUAUAGCUUGACACUGAACAUUGAGCCUUGAUGUGUAGGAUAGGUGGGAGGCUUUGAAGUGUGGACGCCAGUCUGCAUGGAGCCGACCUUGAAAUACCACCCUUUAAUGUUUGAUGUUCUAACGUGGACCCGUAAUCCGGGUUGCGGACAGUGUCUGGUGGGUAGUUUGACUGGGGCGGUCUCCUCCUAAAGAGUAACGGAGGAGCACGAAGGUUGGCUAAUCCUGGUCGGACAUCAGGAGGUUAGUGCAAUGGCAUAAGCCAGCUUGACUGCGAGCGUGACGGCGCGAGCAGGUGCGAAAGCAGGUCAUAGUGAUCCGGUGGUUCUGAAUGGAAGGGCCAUCGCUCAACGGAUAAAAGGUACUCCGGGGAUAACAGGCUGAUACCGCCCAAGAGUUCAUAUCGACGGCGGUGUUUGGCACCUCGAUGUCGGCUCAUCACAUCCUGGGGCUGAAGUAGGUCCCAAGGGUAUGGCUGUUCGCCAUUUAAAGUGGUACGCGAGCUGGGUUUAGAACGUCGUGAGACAGUUCGGUCCCUAUCUGCCGUGGGCGCUGGAGAACUGAGGGGGGCUGCUCCUAGUACGAGAGGACCGGAGUGGACGCAUCACUGGUGUUCGGGUUGUCAUGCCAAUGGCACUGCCCGGUAGCUAAAUGCGGAAGAGAUAAGUGCUGAAAGCAUCUAAGCACGAAACUUGCCCCGAGAUGAGUUCUCCCUGACUCCUUGAGAGUCCUGAAGGAACGUUGAAGACGACGACGUUGAUAGGCCGGGUGUGUAAGCGCAGCGAUGCGUUGAGCUAACCGGUACUAAUGAACCGUGAGGCUUAACCUUACAACGCCGAAGCUGUU
rnacentral:rRNA from 1 species